rnacentral:misc_RNA from 1 species
ACGAAUACGUUUGUCGGGAAGGGUUGCUGCUGGCCCCCUCGGGGGCAUGUGCGCGCCCCGACCGCAUUCCACCCCUUCCACACCUGUGCACAACCGUGGCUUGUCUCUCCCCCCCGGGGGGUGACUUCCGCGACCUUUUCACAAACUCCCAGUAUUUACGAGAACGUACAUUUGUAGUAGUGCCCUCGGGCGCGAAUAAAUA